GGUGAGGUGUGCGUGUGGCUGACGGAGCACGCCUGGACAGUGUGUAUACGGCAACGUAUCGGGUGUUCGAAUCCCCCCCUCACCGCCA
rnacentral:tRNA from 1 species